AGCUGGUGUGGUUUAGUGCUUAUAGUGCUGGACUGGGACCUGAGAGACCAGGGUUCGAAUCCCCCACUCGGCUA